rnacentral:rRNA from 1 species
AAAUUGAAGAGUUUGAUCAUGGCUCAGAUUGAACGCUGGCGGCAGGCCUAACACAUGCAAGUCGAACGGUAACAGGAAGAAGCUUGCUUCUUUGCUGACGAGUGGCGGACGGGUGAGUAAUGUCUGGGAAACUGCCUGAUGGAGGGGGAUAACUACUGGAAACGGUAGCUAAUACCGCAUAACGUCGCAAGACCAAAGAGGGGGACCUUCGGGCCUCUUGCCAUCGGAUGUGCCCAGAUGGGAUUAGCUAGUAGGUGGGGUAACGGCUCACCUAGGCGACGAUCCCUAGCUGGUCUGAGAGGAUGACCAGCCACACUGGAACUGAGACACGGUCCAGACUCCUACGGGAGGCAGCAGUGGGGAAUAUUGCACAAUGGGCGCAAGCCUGAUGCAGCCAUGCCGCGUGUAUGAAGAAGGCCUUCGGGUUGUAAAGUACUUUCAGCGGGGAGGAAGGGAG